GGGAGAUGAUUGCAGAGGAACCUGCUGCUCAUUUGUAGCGUGAAACCACGCAGCUCCUCCUCUGGCUGCCACUGUGCUCCUGCUUAUAGGGCAGCUACUCAGCUCAUCUGUGUUUACCCUAAAGAUGGGGGGCAGGCGUAGCCUUUCUGUACACCCAGCGUGAAGUGGCUUACCCCUCCGUGAAACUCAGGUGAGCUGCUUCUCUGCCGACUGCAAACUGGGAGCAUCUUCACGGGGAACUUUUCCGCUGAAAUCAAAGUGAAACUUCACCCUGGGCUUUCUUAUUGCUGCCUCCUGAGUCACCACAUCCUUCUCUUGUCACCACCACCUUUCUGUUUAGAAAGUGAUAAUGAGACGCAGUGUUCAGCAGUGAGAACUGGGUCUGUGUGCGAGGAAUGAAUUUACAGAGGGGUUAAAAUUCGCUCUUUGAAAGCAGAGAGCACCAAAAGGUCCACCUGGGGAGUCAGUUGUUGGCGUGCUGCAGUUUUACAGUGCUUCCCUACAUUUCUUGUGGAGACAAGCCCCAAGGAAUCUGAAGACUUGGCUUAUUUUCCUGAUCCUGCAACAGAUCCUGCCUUGCCCGGCUAUGGGGCUUAGCAGCAGGGCAAAGAAGAGGAGCUGGGAAGAGAAGGAGGAGAGGCCAGGCUUCUCCAGGUGGAGAGCCUUGCUGUUUCCCACCCCGUGUCUCUUUGUCUCUCACUCUACUAUCUCCUGGAGUUGGCAACAAGUUAAUGUGACUCGGGAGCCAGAAGAGUUCAGCUCAAAGCAGCUGCAGAAAAAAAGCAUCCUGCUGCAGAAGAGCCAAUGGCCCUGGGAACAGACUGCUUUUAUAAAAAGCCUUACGAGAGCCAGAUGCCCCCUACCCUGACAAAGACUGAUCAGGUGGCUGCUGGUAUCGCCUUUCACUGCUCUUUGGCAAGGGUGGAAACACAGAAUGAUGGUGAGUUUUCAGGUGGAGAUGUAUUUUAUUUUUGCUUCGGUGAUGCAGAUGGAAAGAGUCGUUCCAUGCUAAGCAGCGCCGGCGUAGGGACAAAAAGGAGGACUAUGGGUGUCUAGGAGCAUGCAUGCAAUUACUGUAAUUCUCACACACAGGGUGCCAUGGAUUUAUGCUUUGUGAGAGGUCAGGUCAGAUCAUCAGCAUGGAAAAUAAAUCCAUUGGAUGUAUCUCCCGGGGGGUGCAGGAGGCUGUGCUGCAAGUCUCUUGGCACGGGGUGAGUUUUGGACGGGCAAUCACUUUGCAGAUCGGAGAAGGGAGGAAUCCACGUUGAGCCGAGCCGCAAGUCUUUGCAGAACCAAAGCACUGAUUCUUCCUGCAACCGCUCUUGGGUCGCUUCUGAGCCGGGUGGGAAGUCGGGGUGUUUCUUCAAAAUGACACAUAGGGUUUGCAGAGAUUAUUCACACCCUUUAUUGCAGGGUUGCAACAAAAUCCCCCUCUUUUUCCUUCCCUCUCUCAUAAUCUGGAUCCUGCUCACACCGGUACCUAACACGCAUCUCAUGAAUUAUUUGGGGGAUGAAACAGAAACUCCCUGCCCAAUCCAGCAGGUUUUUAUCUCAAGAUGAUGUUGUUGUUUAUUUUUGUACCUUUGUCAAUGCCGAGAGAUGCGACACGACUCCAACCCUAAACUCGCUCCCACUUCACUUUCAGGCAGUCCCCCAGCACUUCCCCACCCGAGCGGCCGCAGCAGGUGAUCCGUGGAGGAAGAGGAGGAUGAAGCCCGGCGUGCGAGCCAGCCCCGCCGGCUGCCGAGUGCCACCAGAGGGUGCUGCGCCGUACCGCCGGCCGGCAGGGACGGAUGGGAACGGGAGGGAUGCGAGAGGGACGCGGGAGGCUGCGGCCCCAGCCAGCUCCCUGCCUGCCAGCUCCUGCUGUGGUUGCCAGGCUGCUUGGUUUGGUUGCCCCGCAGCUAGCUAGUUCCGUCUGAUGGACCUCAGCUCCCUCUGGAGAAAACAAACAUUUGUGGCCGUGUUGAUGUGCAAGGAGGAAAACAUUGACACCGCAGAUAACGUGGUUGGUACGUCUCGAGACAGCGUAUGUAGAAGACAGCAUUUAAAAGGGUUGGUUUAUUAACUUUGCGCUCCCGUGCCGUAACCAGCCGCCCUUUAGGGAGACAGAAUUAGCCUCUCUUUAGCAGAAGGCAUCACAUCCCUCUGCUUAUGUCCCGUGCCGCUGCUCCCCCCAGCAGCCGCACUCCUCGGUGCCUGCUGUCCCACACGUCCGGGGCUGCUGUACAGAGCGCUCCUUAUACAGACGUCUCUUGGCAUGGAGGCGCUCCCCGGGAGCACGACUGUAGGUUGAAAUUCUGCCUUCUUGGAAUAAGCAAAUGCCAGGGGUUUAUUUCCUAUUAAGCUAGCAGAUAGUUUGUGCAUUUAGCCGCAGUUUGCUGUCUCCAACCAGAUACGGGUGGAUCCUUCUUGUUUUCCUUCCUCUUUAUAUUUCCAGCCUGGGAAACAGCAAAAAGUUUGUGCAAAAGCAACAUCUGUGGGAGAGAGAGAGAGAAAAGGAUGAGGCAGGCUGGCCCGGCAGCCAGCCUCAGGAGAUGGUAAGACAGAAGAGCUAUUCAUUGUGAGAGGCAGUUGCUCCUCACCCUGCUAGACUAUAAAUUGGACACCUUAUUAAGAGCUGAUCCUCCAACAGCCCCACCCCGGGCUGUGCUCACGCUCCGGACUAGAGGAACGCAAUCCCGUUUCGCUCUGGGUGCCCGCUGUGGGGUGAGCACAUGUGUGAGCAGGACAGAGGACAUGAGGCAGAAGGAAGCAGCACACUUUUUGAUUUGUGGGUCGUCAGCUUAGGAAAACAAGGCAAACUUUUGGGAGGCAGCAGGGAGGAGGUUGGAUGGCAGCGAAGUUUGGGCUCUCACCCUAUGAUGCGCUGGUUGCCUUAGCAAAUAAUGGAAGCAGUAUUACAUUUUUUUCCUUUUUUUUUUUAACUUGUUUUCUCAGUUGUAACUUAAAAAUGCUGACUCACUGGCACUGUGUGCCAACACAAAUGUUGCUGCGGAAAUCAAUCAUCAUGAGAGCCUGGUGAGAUAUAACCCCACAGUGGCGCAGGCUUUGAAUGGGCCUCUUUGGUCAUUCCAAGUUUCUUCUUCAGACAAUUCGCCUGGAAACUUCCUUCUUGUCAGGUGAGCCCAAAGGUCUGAGCAGACUCACGCAGAUGUCACGUUGAAUGGUUGCUGUGGUGAAAAAUUCACAGGAAUGUGAGGUUAACAAAUUCAUCAGUUGUAUCAUCCUUGGCAAGACUUCUGAGCUUUCCAGCCUUUGCGCACCUUUAACCAUUUGAAAGGUUCUUGGGCUUGCAUUUGAAGUGCACAAGCUAUUGCCAGCUGCUGUCAGAAGUAAACAUCUUUAUGUAUUCUUCAGAGCUUGUUUUCGUGCUAAAGAAAGCAGGAUGGAUCACAGGCCUUUUGUACUGUUCUGAACACUAUUCCUGCUCAGACGUUCAUGUUUUUCCUUCCACGUGAAACCGAUUGGAGGAGUCAUGCAACACUAGAUGUGUUGGGAGGAGUCUGCAUUUUCAGAGCAUCUGCUCGUUGAUUUCUCUGCUGAGGUUCCUCUGUUUUAUUUUCCUUGGCAGGCAAUUUAAACAUAGUUAGAUAUAUUGCAACUGAGCGGUGGUCAGGUAAUUCAAAGUAACAUGGAAAUGUGACCUUCAUACAUGCCUCCCCGCUUCUCGGGUAGCACUAAGAUACAGGUGCAUUUCAAUAGCAUCUCCUAGAAUUGCUGACUUCAGUUGCAUCUCAUAUAAUUGAAAAACAGCCUUUGUAUUUCCUUUAGGAGGAAAUACAUUUUUUUUCAGAUCUGAAAAAUCUAGGAUAUUGCUGUGGCUCAUUUGAAAAUGGCCGCGUGAUUCUCUAGGUUGUGAUUGCCUGACUGUCGCUGGUGUAUUGGAAGGCAUUGGCUGACAAGAUGUUCCUGGAUACCUUAAUUUGUGUGCCUCAGAUGACUUUACAUGCUUAUAAAAAUGAGCACAAAGCAUCUUCAGCGUUUCUCUCACUUUUCUUCUCCUACAUUCUACUUGAGGGACUUCUUAGUUUUGCCAAUGAUUUUGUUUCCCAAUAAAACAGCAUGUCUGAAUUCAUGCUCUGUGUAUAAGUCCGUGUAUGUGAUUCCACUGUGCCCUAACCUCUCCAAAAGUGUGGGCCUGCUGGUUGGUUUUGGCUGAAUUUGGCAAAAUAAUUGAUAUUUCAAACUGAAGUUCCAAAAUGUUUUAAAAAGAAGGGCUAGGUAGGCACAGGAGAGGGCUUUUUUUGUGCUAGAGACAUCCUGGUGCUGUCAGCUCAGAUCACCUUUUACCACGUACCAGUGAAGCUGCCAUGGAAUGGGCCCUUGGAAAUCAGUCUUCAACACAUCUGUCAGACGUGGAUUAGUUGUUAGUACUGGUUGUUUUGGUACAGUUAGAAUAGAGGAGGGGAGGCUGGGUUGAAAACCCGGAGUUUUCUCUUUUGUUCUAGACUUUUGAGAUUUAUGGUUUUUCCCUGCAAGUAGUCCGGAUUUUGCAGUUGUGAACUAAGCACUAGAGAAUCUGUCCCUAGCGCACCUAUCCUUCAAACUGGGUAUUUAUUGUGUCACAGGGCAGUAUGACUGCCAGAUUUCAACAUAGCUGUGGCUGUCUUCGCACCAAUUUUUGCUAAGGUGUUGAAAGCUUUGAAAAUAAGGCCUUUGGGACUAAGCGGUGAGCGGAGCAAAGAUCAGAGUUUGAACUUGCUUGGAGGUCUUGUGUUGCUGAAUAAACGGACCGACAUUUUUGUAUGGGGCAUCAUUUCUAAACCCACCGUGUCUGUAGAAAUCAAGCAUAAGGAGCAAGUUCAAUCUAGCAGGUCGUCUGAUCAGAAAUAGCUGUGAAGAACAGAGGUAUUUGCAGCAACAGCUCUUGGGAUUUCUAGAAGGAAUGAGUUCGGAUAAAUAUUAAAUCUCCAUUUUGUCUUAAUGCCAGUGAUGGAGAAUGAAUGACAUUAUGGAAAUGUGAAAUGCUUUCCUCUACCAUCUUGAGCCCAGGCUCUUGCAACAAUUCAGCUUCUGCCAACUUCUCUUCAUUCAUUUGCUGAUCUCAGCCAAGCCCUUGUAGAGCUGGGUAACGGUGUUAUUUGCAUGGGAGGUGAAGAUGAUGUAGAGAUGGGUGUCAUAUGUGUACUGCUGACAAGUCAGUCCAUGGUGCCACUGAAUAUUCUCUACAGGCUUUAUAUAGAUAUUGAACAGGCUGGGUGAGGGGAAAGAAUUUCAUGUUAUUCAGCAGGUGGGAAAGGUUUUGGAGGUUAAGGAAAGAGCAAGUGUUUAUCAUAAAUCUCUUGAGCUUACUGGAGAUUGAUGUAAGGGAUGUCUGAAGAUGUAUCAGCUCAGUUCCAAAGGGCUGUGGACAGACAUUUAUUUUCAAACAGCUGAGCUGGCUGGAGAUCUUACAGCCAUUCCAGAUGCUUGCUACCAACCCUCUGCUGAUGGUUGCCAUACCAGUUGCUCUGCUGUUAGAAAAGGUAGUCUAAAGUCUUCCUGAUCUGUUCGGUGAAGUCACUCAGAUAGCUGAAAGUGCUGAUAAAGGUGGUGUUAUUUAACACAGCUGAAAUUGCAUUACCUUUAAAAGAGAGAAUGUUCACUUUACUGUGAGUUUUGGAAAGGAGAGAAAGGAGAAAAGAAGACCUCAGCCUAUCCUGCAGAGCAUUCCCACAGCCCCAGGCAGCUCUUGCAUUGCCUCCUGCAGGCCUGAAGAUGGGCAAGGCAUGUGUGUGGGGCUGGGUACAUCUUCUGGAACAGGCAAUGUAGCUGCUGUUUGGGGUUUGCUUUUAUGAGUGAACAUGUGCUCGGAUAUUUUGUAUAGAUCUUGUGCUUAAAAUAUAUGCAAAGUGCUUGUUUCUUACAUGAGUGACUGAAAUGAUGUAUGUGGAGAUGUGUCAGCCUCCUACGGGGUCAGGUAACCUCAUGUGGCCAAAGCUCAGGUAACCAAGAGUUUGUUAUUAUCCAAGUUUUCUACCAGAGCUCAUAUAAGAAAUUGUUAUUAAUUAGUAUAUUAACACCACUAUGGUUAAAGCUGAACCAGCAAGUUACAAUAAAAUGCUUAAGUUGGGGCAAAGAAGAAAGCUCAUGCACUCGGGUGUUCAUUCAGGAAUGGGAGGAAUGGGAAGAACUGGGAUGAAAGCCUGUGGGUGUUUUUAAGAGAUCCUGGAAUUCUUGCAGGUUUUCCAGAUCCAAAACCACAGAACUGCUGGAGAUUCCUUGACGUGUACACGGGCAAAACAGAGCAAGCAAGAGUACUGGUCAUCCUUGCUGGCCAUUCUGUUUCUGAACUGGGCCAGAAUGAAGCAUCCUACCCUAACAACAGUCCAAAACUCUGCUGGAAUUUGGACUAGCAUCCAAACUCAAGGCACAGGCUCUUCUCUAAAUAAAAAUAACUCAAUCACAAGCUAUUUUGGGGUGGUGACUUUCAGACAAGAAAUGUAGGGCUUACACAGGUUUUUACUUCUGUCAAAUACAUCUGGAUGCUGUACUCCUUCCUGCCGAUACUCUGAACUUGCUCUCUUCAGCUCAGAGCCAAAGAACUCCAACUGAAAGCUAGAAAUGGUAGAACAACUGAUGUUACUCAAGUCCUGGCGAAAUCAGCUGGAUUUUGUGAUGUGUUUUGGCUCCGGCAGAGCAGGAUCCUAGCAGCGUUUCUUCCAAUGGCUUGAGAAGAGCAGGAGUGGAGGAGCUCCCCGUGCGGAGGGUUUUGUUCCAGGAGAAGAGUCCUUCUGGCCUAUGAAGAGGAGCGAUUCAACGUGCCUUCCGCUCGGGGGGUAGGAGGGGAAGGAGGGAGAGGGACGAGGACACUUCCUUCGCAGCGCUUUGUCAAGGCUUCUGGCCAAGAAUCUGCUGGACAGCUUUGUGACCACCAGUCGGGAUGGCUGUUUGCCACUCUCUCAUGAUUGCUGCCAUGUGCUGUUCCCC
ensembl:lncRNA